AUUGAACGCUAGCGGGAUGCCUUACACAUGCAAGUCGAACGGAGUGGCGAACGGGUGAGUAAUGGAUCGGAACGUGCCCAGUAGCAGGAGAUAACUACGCGAAAGCGUAGCUAAUACCGAAUACUAUUAGUGUGGCCGAUAUCGGAUUAGCUAGUGGGUGGGGUAACGGCUCACCAACGCGACGAUCCGUAGCUGUUUUGAGAGGGCGACCAGCCACACUGGGACUGAGACACGGCCCAGACUCCGACGGGAGGCAGCAGUGGGGAAUUUUGGACAAUGGGGGAAACCCUGAUCCAGCCAUCCCGCGUGUAGGAUGAAGGCCUUCGGGUUGUAAAGCACUUUUGGCAGGAAAGCGGUACCUGCAGAAUAAGCACCGGCUAACUACGUGCCAGCAGCCGCGGUAAUAC
rnacentral:rRNA from 1 species